UCCGUAGGGGGCAAGCGUUGUCCGGAUUUAUUGGGCGUAAAGGGCGCGUAGGCGGUUUCUUAAGUUUGACGUGACAGUGGGUGGCUUAACUACCCAAGGCCUUUGAAAACUGGGGAACUUGAGGACCAGAGAGGGACAUAGAAUUCCGGGUGGAGUGGUGAAAUGCGUAGAUAUCCGGAGGAAUACCAAAGGCGAAGGCAGUGUCCUGGAGGGUGACUGACGCUGAGGCGCGAAAGCUAGGGGAGCGAACAGG
rnacentral:rRNA from 1 species